GACGAACGCUGGCGGCGUGCUUAACACAUGCAAGUCGAACGGAAAGGCCAUGCUUGCAGGGUACUCGAGUGGCGAACGGGUGAGUAACACGUGGGUGAACUGCCCUGCAAUUAGGGUUAAGCAAGGUCGACAGGGUCUAAUACAGGACAGGAGCCAUUUUGAGCGUGAUGGUUGGAUAGUGUUUUCGGUGUUGGAUGAGAUCGCGGCCUAUCAGCUUGCUGGUGGGGUAAUGUCCUACCAAGGCGGCUACGGGUAGCCGGCCUGCGAGGGUGGACGGCCACAUUGGGACUGAGAUACGGCCCAGACUCCUACGGGAGGCAGCAGUGGGGAAUAUUGCACAAUGGGCGCAAGCCUGAUGCAGCGACGCUGCGUGGGGGAUGACGGCCUUCUGGUUGUAAACUCCUUUCGCUAGGGACGAAGCUUUUUGUGACGGUACCUAGAUAAGAAGCACCGGCUAACUACGUG
rnacentral:rRNA from 1 species